AGCGAACGCUGGCGGCAGGCCUAACACAUGCAAGUCGAGCGCCCCGCAAGGGGAGCGGCAGACGGGAGAGUAACACGUGGGAACGUACCCUUCAGUUCGGAACAACCAAGGGAAACUUUGGCUAAUACCGAAUACGUCCGUAAGGAGAAAGAUUUAUCGCUGAAGGAUCGGCCCGCGUCUGAUUAGCUAGUUGGUGGGGUAACGGCCCACCAAGGCGACGAUCAGUAGCUGGUCUGAGAGAAUGAUCAGCCUCACUGGGACUGAGACACGGCCCAGACUCCUACGGGAGGCAGCAGUGGGGAAUAUUGGACAAUGGGCGCAAGCCUGAUCCAGCCAUGCCGCGUGGAUGAUGAAGGCCCUAGGGUUGUAAAGUCCUUUCGGCGGGGAAGAUAAUGACGGUACCCGCAGAAGAAGCCCCGGCUAACUUCGUGCCAGCCGCCGCAGUAA
rnacentral:rRNA from 1 species